UUACCUACAAGUGCACACAUUGGAAGAAGUUCAUGCUAUUUUGUGAAUUUCAUGUGCUGAACUCCUAGAUUUUGUGAUACAUUUCUUUGAACAACUUGCUAGACUGUCUGCUUUAGUUUGGUGGGGAAAAAUGUUUUUGCCCUUUAAUUGCUCUAUAUCGAUAAAACUAUCUCAGGAGUGCAAUUUAGUUGGAUUUAAGUCUCCAAAUUCUCUUCUUCCCCCUUUCUUUCUCUGCAUAUAAACUGUCAACUGCAGUUCUUGAAAAUGGCCUCCCUGAAGAUGACACCUUAACUGAUUAUUGGUCAAUUGAGGAAUGAAAGGAUAUCUAGUCACAAACAAGAAGAAGCUUAGUAGUAUUGCUUUCUUAACUUUUUUGCUUGCAAGAAAGGUUGUGUACCUCCUAAUACUCUACAAACAACCGUUGGAAAUGCAGGAAAUAUUUUAUCAUGAGCAAUAACUAUAAUUGAAUCCGUCGUGUGUACUUGUGGUCGGUGUGGGUCAUAAGCUGUGGAUCUUUCUUCACUUUCUUAAAGAAGUGGAGGUUUGGGUUGCCAGUGCAAAGACAUUUCAGCUUUUGUGGAUCUUUACCUCAUUUUUUGUAGCUGAUGCCUGAACAAGGAGGCUGCUCCCCUUGAUGCACGGAUAUUUUCCUAUUGUUGUGUGUAAGGCCAUAUAGAGGUGAUUUGUAGAAUUUUAAGCAUGGCCUGUUUGACAAGUAUCUUGCUCUAGAGUGGCACGGAGGGGGUAUUAUAUUUGCUUAUUCUUUGUAGCUUUAAGUUCUUGGAGUUAAAUCAUGUGUCAUCUUUAUUUGUCUGAUGGUUGUGGCACUGUUGGAAUGCAUGCAAUUACAGAUUUCAUACACCUCGGAAAAUGUUGUUGAUUCUGAUGGUUGUUGCACUGUUGGAAUGCAUGCAAUUACAGAUUUCAUACACCUCGGAAAAUGUUGUUGAAGGCAAAACAGCAGCCAAGGAAGCUUUGCGGCAAAAACUUGGACUGAAACAGGCCAACCUUCCUUUGGUAGGAAUAAUCACC
rnacentral:lncRNA from 1 species